UAAGACGUAGGGGCCGAGCGUUGUCCGGAGUUACUGGGCGUAAAGGGCGCGCAGGCGGCCGGUCGCAUCGGCGGUGAAAGCCCCCCGCUCAACGGGGGAGGGUCCGUCGAGAUGGAUCGGCUGGAGGCAGGGAGAGGGCGGUGGAAUUCCGGGUGUAGUGGUGAAAUGCGUAGAGAUCCGGAGGAACACCAGUGGCGAAGGCGGCCGCCUGGACCUGACCUGACGCUGAGGCGCGAAGGCGUGGGGAGCGAACGGGAUUAGAUACCCCGGUAGUCCACGCAGUAAACGAUGGGCACGAGGUGUGGCGGGAGUUGACCCCUGCCGUGCCGGCGCUAACGCAGUAAGUGCCCCGCCUGGGGAGUACGGCCGCAAGGCUAAAACUCAAAUGAAUUGACGG
rnacentral:rRNA from 1 species